rnacentral:rRNA from 1 species
AGUGAACGCUGGCGGUAGGCCUAACACAUGCAAGUCGAACGGCAGCACAGUAAGAGCUUGCUCUUACGGGUGGCGAGUGGCGGACGAGUGAGGAAUACAUCGGAAUCUACUUUUUCGUGGGGGAUAACGUAGGGAAACUUACGCUAAUACCGCAUACGACCUACGGGUGAAAGCAGGGGAUCUUCGGACCUUGCGCGAUUGAAUGAGCCGAUGUCGGAUUAGCUAGUUGGCGGGGUAAAGGCCCACCAAGGCGACGAUCCGUAGCUGGUCUGAUAGGAUGAUCAGCCACACUGGAACUGAGACACGGUCCAGACUCCUACGGGAGGCAGCAGUGGGGAAUAUUGGACAAUGGGCGCAAGCCUGAUCCAGCCAUACCGCGUGGGUGAAGAAGGCCUUCGGGUUGUAAAGCCCUUUUGUUGGGAAAGAAAAGCAGCAGGUUAAUACCCCGCUGUUCUGACGGUACCCAAAGAAUAAGCACCGGCUAACUUCGUG